AAGAUGAGCGGGGGCCACCUUCUCUUCAGACCUGCAGGGAGAAACUGCUUGUGACUUGGUGACUGCCUUUGUGUGAAAGAACUACCGGCAUGAAUCCAAUUACACAUCUGCUUAAGUGCUUCCAUAAUAAGAGCCAUAUUUUGUAUGUCUGAAGGUGACAAACACACAGCUGAGGCAAAAGACCCAUAAAAACCCAUAGAAAUAACGGUCCAGGUGCAAUUGCUAUAACCAGUUUUUAUGAAGUUCUUUGGGCAAAACCCUGUUUGCCCUUCAUAUGGAAGGUUUCAUAGUAAGUACCCAUAUGUCA